rnacentral:rRNA from 1 species
GAUGAACGCUGGCGGCGUGCCUAAUACAUGCAAGUCGAGCGAACAGACGAGGAGCUUGCUCCUCUGACGUUAGCGGCGGACGGGUGAGUAACACGUGGAUAACCUACCUAUAAGACUGGGAUAACUUCGGGAAACCGGAGCUAAUACCGGAUAAUAUAUUGAACCGCAUGGUUCAAUAGUGAAAGACGGUUUUGCUGUCACUUAUAGAUGGAUCCACGCCGCAUUAGCUAGUUGGUAAGGUAACGGCUUACCAAGGCGACGGUGCGUAGCCGACCUGAGAGGGUGAUCGGCCACACUGGAAAUGAGACACGGUCCAGACUCCUACGGGAGGCAGCAGUAGGGAAUCUUCCGCAAUGGGCGAAAGCCUGACGGAGCAACGCCGCGUGAGUGAUGAAGGUCUUCGGAUCGUAAAACUCUGUUAUUAGGGAAGAACAAAUGUGUAAGUAACUAUGCACGUCUUGACGGUACCUAAUCAGAAAGCCACGGCUAACUACGUG